UACGUAGGGGGCUAGCGUUGUCCGGAAUCAUUGGGCGUAAAGAGCGUGUAGGCGGUCCGGUAAGUCCGCUGUAAAAGUCAAAGGCUCAACCUUUGAAUGUCAGUGGAUACUGCCGGGCUAGAGUCCGGAAGAGGCGAGUGGAACUCCUGGUGUAGCGGUGGAAUGCGCAGAUAUCAGGAAGAACACCCGUGGCGAAGGCGGCUCUCUGGGACGGUACUGACGCUGAGACGCGAAAGCGUGGGGAGCAAACAGG
rnacentral:rRNA from 1 species